UACGAAGGGGGCUAGCGUUGUUCGGAAUUACUGGGCGUAAAGCGCACGUAGGCGGACAUUUAAGUCAGGGGUGAAAUCCCGGAGCUCAACUUCGGAACUGCCUUUGAUACAGCACGUCUUGAGUCCGGAAGAGGUGGGUGGAAUUCCUAGUGUAGAGGUGAAAUUCGUAGAUAUUAGGAAGAACACCGGUGGCGAAGGCGGCCCACUGGUCCGGUACUGACGCUGGGGUGCGAAAGCGUGGGGAGCAAACAGG
rnacentral:rRNA from 1 species